AGUGGGGAAUCUUGCACAAUGGAGGAAACUCUGAUGCAGCGACGCCGCGUGAGUGAUGAAGCCCUUCGGGGUGUAAAGCUCUUUCGACAGGAACGAUAAUGACGGUACCUGAAGAAGAAGCUGCGGCUAACUACGUGCCAGCAGCCGCGGUAAUACGUAGGCAGCAAGCGUUGUUCGGAAUUACUGGGCGUAAAGAGUGUGUAGGCGGUGCUCUAAGUUUGGUGUGAAAUCUCCCGGCUUAACCGGGAGGCUGCAUCGAAUACUGGAGUGCUCGAGGGUGGGAGAGGUAAGCGGAAUUCCUGGUGUAGCGGUGAAAUGCGUAGAUAUCAGGAGGAACACCUGUGGUGUAGACAGCUUACUGGACCAUUUCUGACGCUGAGACACGAAAGCGUGGGUAGCAAA
rnacentral:rRNA from 1 species